AAAAAAGACUCCCGACCCACUGAACGACUGGCCUCGAGCCCACGUCUUACCCGAGCCGCCCACACCCCUACCCCUAGCCACCGCCCACUGUCCUCUCCGCUGCCGCCGCCGUCGCUAGCCCGUCGCGCCAUCGCCGCCGGGUUGCCGCUGCUCGCCCAGACGGCGCCCGCCUUCGGCCGCCCUGACCGCGCCGCCUGAGCCGCGCCGUCGCCGGAGAUCACCACCGGUCGCUGGUCCAGGUCCCCGUCGGCACUCAGUCCGGUGCUGCGCUCCUGGUGCCCUGACCGUGGCAAUCCCUCCUGACGUGGAUUGGUUUCUUCUUUUCGUCGGUUCUAUAUUUGCCAUCCUAAAGCUGCAAUAUACCAUUCAGUGACAUCGAAAGUUCAGAAUAGUCUCCCGUAGACUGGCGCAGAUGAUUGAUGAUGAGGCUGACUUCAACAACAUCCUUGAUGCCCCAGCAGAAGUGAAGACCGCUGCAAAGUUCCGUCCCAAGCAAGGGGUCAAGCCCCGAAAGGCAACUCUGCCAUCCAAAUCUGCAGCGUUUAAUCCUACUGCGAACAUUAAAGAUGGAAAAGUAGGAGCCUUAACUCAAGGCAAUUCUUCUGAAGAAAUCAGUAGUCAAGGAAGAGCAACCUUGACAGGCCCGGAUAGUGAGACAGUCGAUGAUGUAACCGGUUCUCGGAGUAUUCUUGAAGUAAUGUCGAAAGAUGUGCUAACAGUUCCCCUGGUGCCUCGAAACGAUCAUGGUGUGCCAUGGGAUUCUCCAACAGGUGGUGCUUCUGCUGGAGAUAGGGUUUCUCAAGACGACGAGCAUGAUGAUGAUUCAUCUAAAUUAGCUACACACCAAGAAAACUUGUUGGUUUCAGAUAUCCAUGUAUCAUCUGCCAGUUCAUAUAGCAAGACUAUUGAUGAUAUAGUUGAAUUUGGGGAAAUGUUUGAUGAACAAGCUGAAGAGGAAAGAGUUGCAAAGUUCCAGCCUAGGGUACAGUUGAAGAUUAAGGCAGCAUCCAAAUCACGGAAGGCUAACCAAAAGGUGGAAGCUUCCACUGUAGAUGCGGUCACACUAAAUGAAAGAGGUGAUAAUAAUCAGACAGGACUCCAUGAUGAUCAGCUACAGGCUCCUAGAUGUCAUAAAAGUGUGCAGACCUCAGAUUCUGAAGCAUUAUUGGCAACUGAAAAUAGUACAGUUGGCAAUUUAGCUAACCUCGACAGUGUCCUUGAAGAGCCAGUUCAAGAGGAAACAAUUGGGAAGUUUCGGCCUAAAUUGUGUCUGAAGCCUGGGAAGGCUUCAUCCAAAGUUGCUGGGAGUAAUGACAAUGUUGCUGCAGCUACACCGAUGGUUGGAGUUUGUGCUGUAGAUGUGAUCCUUCAAGGUAAAAAAGAUCAAAAAACCAUCACAGGUCCAGCCCCUUGGUCACCUCAGGAUGUGCAUGCUAAUGUCGAUUUGGACUCUCAGAAUGAGCUUAUAAAUCCUCAUACUUAUGGCACUCAAUCAAUGUCUAGAGAAGUUUCAGCUGAACACACUGUUAAAUCUCAACCUAAUGCUGGAGAAAAAAAGGGCAAAGGAAAAUCAGUAUCUUUUGUUCCACUUGAUGCUUCUGAGGGGAUUUCACCUACAAAUAUUUACUCUGAUAUGGGUUACUUCGACCAUUCCUGUAAUGACACAUCGACUGAUGAAAAUUUAAAUAAUGCACCUCAGCAAGCAGCUGAAAAGGUAUAUACCGAUAAAGAAAGCCAGAGCCAUGAGAGGGAACCAUCGGAUCAUGCUGUUGAACAACAGCCAAAAAUGAAUGUUGGAGAAUCAGGAUCAUCCAUGAAACUACGGAGGAGGGAAAAGUUGCAGAAAGUUGGUAUACCUGAGCAUACUGCUGAUGACUUUUUUGAUGAAGACUAUGUUGGACCUUCAGCAGCUGAACAAGAUAAUGAUAGUGGUGACGAUUACACUGCUGGUGGCAAGCGAAAAGUAAGGCGAAAGUCAAGGGAUGGUAUAAGUAAAGAACCUCCAAGGGAUUCAAUGUGCUUAGAAGAGCCGCAGCAGCAUAAGGUUCAAAAAGAUAAAAGCCAAGUAUCUUCACGGGGCCGCAAGAGAACCUCGAAAGAUGCAGCGACAGAAAAACCUGAUAAAAAGCUUACCCACAGAAUUCGUCAGAAGAAAAUGAAAGAGGUUAAGACUUUACUGGAAACAUCUGAUAACAUAGAUCACAUGAAGCUAAGUGCGACACACCUCAGGUUGUUACAAGAAAUAAGAGAGCGUGUUAAGGGUAAAGAAAUUCCAUCCGGACCAUCCUCUAAUACAAGCUUCCAACUUGAAGAUCCAGAUGGUUUUGAUUCAUUUGGAGAUAAUGAAGCACAUAACUUUGAUGACAACAGAACAGAGAACAGUGUACUACAAAAUGCAACCAAACUGAAUUAUCAUUCCUACAUGAACAAACAAACACGAGCCAAAUGGUCAAAAUCUGAUACUGACUUGUUUUACCAGGGACUUCGACAAUUUGGUAGCGAUUUUGCAAUGAUACAACAAUUAUUCCCUGAUAAGACCUGUCAUCAGGUGCGCCAAAAGUUUAAAACUGAGGAGAGAAAAAAUCCGAUGCAAGUUCAUGAUGCUAUAAUUCAUCGCUCGGGGGAUAAUUUGUUUUUCAAAAAAGUAAUUAAACAGCUCAACAUUGAAGAUGUGCUACCAGAGAUUAACAGUACACAUAAACAAGAGGAUGUAUCAAAUGAAGGCGGCCGUGGAAAUGAGAAUGCAUUGGAUGAUUUCAUCGAUGAGGAAGGAGAAAAUGGUUCAAAUUGGUCGGAUAAAGAGCUUGGCACGCACAGGUCUUACGUCCAAGAAGAGCAUGUUCCUGGAAAUGCUGAUGAUGAUCUUGGGAAUGUCUUCGAUUGGUACUAGCCAGAUAAUCAUGAUCAAUAUUAGGACAUAUGAUCUGGGAUCUCCAUGGUUAUGAUUUUGCCAACCUUGUGAGUGUUUUCAAUAAAUGACUAAUGUCACCAGAUCCUUGCGACAAUUGCUGAUAUUUGAUUGCAAAUUGCUGGGAACAUUGUUUGCUGCCCAUAUUGUUUUGACAAGAUCCCUGCGAGACUUGGCCAGAGAUUCUGGUCGUUAGUGUGUAUGUUACCUCAAAUGUGGACAUAUGUAGAACUAGGCACUGAACAGUAAAGCAUUUGGAGAAUGUUGGUGCACUGCGAUGAUCAAUCUCUUAAAGAAAAAAAUGCUCACUGCCUUAUGGCUAUGUCCUGUAAUUCCUAGUUUGUCAAGCAAUUCCUAUUUCUGUUGGCCGAUUUGGCCAGUGUGCCCUAGGUGACCUAUACCAUCAGUGCCAGUGACAGAUGUUUCCUGGAACAAGAUUCUGCAAGUCGAUGGGAACUGAAAUGAAUGUAUAUCAUCUGAGAUUGGCACUUCUGUUGUUUCGUGCCGCUUUCAUUCACUUCCCUGGUAUGUUAAACAGACAAAUUACAAAUAUAGACUUCUAUUGAUUUUAAAUCUGUCAUA